AUUGAACGCUGGCGGCAUGCCUUACACAUGCAAGUCGAACGGCAGCGGACCUUCGGGUGCCGGCGAGUGGCGAACGGGUGAGUAAUAUAUCGGAACGUACCUUUCAGUGGGGGAUAACGUAGCGAAAGUUACGCUAAUACCGCAUAUUCUGUGAGCAGGAAAGCAGGGGAUCGCAAGACCUUGCGCUGAUUGANCGGCCGAUAUCAGAUUAGCUAGUUGGUGAGGUAAAGGCUCACCAAGGCGACGAUCUGUAGCGGGUCUGAGAGGAUGAUCCGCCACACUGGAACUGAGACACGGUCCAGACUCCUACGGGAGGCAGCAGUGGGGAAUUUGGACAAUGGGCGCAAGCCUGAUCCAGCCAUGCCGCGUGAGUGAAGAAGGCCUCGGUUGUAAGCGAUUCAGUGGNGGAAGGAUGUGGCGUAUAU
rnacentral:rRNA from 1 species